UCAGCCCGUCGCCGGUGGUCCUGCUGAACGCCGUCUGCCGUACGGCGAGUGACACCGCCUCGGCCGCGGUGGGUUGACCC
rnacentral:tRNA from 1 species